GGCAUCCUGCCAGAGUGGUUAAUGGGUGAGACUUGAACGCAUUGAACGUUUAGCCAUCUCAUGACUUCGGUCGCGUAGGUUCGAAUCCUGCGGAUGUCG